rnacentral:misc_RNA from 1 species
AGAAAAAUUUGACUGGGGGGAAAAAAGGAAUGACGAUUUUGGGAAAAGAUGGGUUGGGGGGACAAAAGAUCAGUGGCAAUGUCCUGAUGCUCUUAGUUGUGAUUGAAAAACGUUGUCACGUACGAUGACUUCCCAAGUCGUAACUGUCAGAGAAAGAGACUUGAGUGCUUGGAUGUGUAAGGAUAGGAGAGAUAUAAUAAUUGUUGGGACGUUUCGCCCCGAUAAUCCGUUUGGUUAACACUAUAAUGCCGUAGGUUUUUACGCUAAGUUACUGGCGGAAAAUAGACCGAUUUUUGAAAGCGUCGUUGUCGCGGCGCUUCCAGACUCGCACAGCCAGCAGCCGAAAUUCACAAGGAAACGAAUCUCCCGGUCUUCCGAUCCUCCGCAAACUGACCUGCGACUCAUUUAUAACGGUUUAUUGACGCGUGAUUAUCGGCUAGCUUUUUUUGCCGAAUCCACCAUCGGACCACCCGCCAUCUUGUCAACACCGCACGUACUUCCGCUACCAGCGCUAGCAGACGGUGUGAGAUCGUUUUAUCACGCUUGAAGAGAGAUCUCCGGAAAAAAAUUAUCUAAACCAUCGCUUUUGCUGGAACUAAUUAGAUUCCAACAGAUUUUCUUCUUUCUAAACGAAGAUAUUAACGCCAGUGACCUGGUGUGAGGACAAAUGUCAGGGCAGUUCCAAUGCACAGGGCAUCGCGAGAUAACGUCUAUCGUACGCUAGGUUGCAUAUGUGUGCGUAAUGAAUUUAUUCCCAUCCACACGAUCAAAAGAUGUUUAAUUUAUGUUGAAACUGUAAUAAUAGAGUAGUGGACGAGUUAUUGUCUUAUUUAUUUAUUUCAUGGUUUCUCUUUCUUCGUCCAAUAUCAUCACACAGUACACCCGGUUUGAUGUAAUCCUAGAAUAAACCUUGAAAUAUUUUUCUAAAAAACGUUUAUAUCAAAGAAGUCUGCAGCAAAAAAACACUUUGCAUUACAAAGCUGAUAUUUUGAUAUUUUCUUGUGUCGGCCCAUCUUCCAUUUUUUCAAUAUAAACACUAUUGAGAAUGUUAUUGAAGAACCAAAUAUCUUUGGAACACAAACAUCUUCGGUGACUUAAGCAAUGAAGAAUUCAAAUCCAGUAAAGGAGUCACCCACGAACUAAGGGUUCCAAAGCGGUGCUCUAAAUUCAUACUUAAUCCGUUGGUACUUCAGGGCAGAUGAUUCAGAGUUUGGCGUUGUGAUGGCUGUCAUUAGUUAGUUGGCGUUCUCGCAGGCAUCGAUCCAAUCAUUGUAAACAUCCAAUGGCUCCGAAAGGAGAUUUAUAGUUGUUUGAAAAUCUUCCAGGCAUACACGGCACGUUAUUCUGGCCGUGUUUCUUGAUUUAUCC